GACGAACGCUGGCGGCGUGCUUAACACAUGCAAGUCGAACGGUGAAGGGAUCAGCUUGCUGGUUCUGGAUGAGUGGCGAACGGGUGAGUAACACGUGAGUAACCUGCCCCCUUCUUCUGGAUAACCGCAUGAAAGUGUGGCUAAUACGGGAUAUUCUGCGCCUGCUGCAUGGUGGGUGUGGGAAAGAUAUUGUUUCGGUGGGGGAUGGGCUCGCGGCCUAUCAGCUUGUUGGUGGGGUGAUGGCCUACCAAGGCGGUGACGGGUAGCCGGCCUGAGAGGGUGGCCGGUGACACUGGGACUGAGACACGGCCCAGACUCCUACGGGAGGCAGCAGUGGGGAAUAUUGCGCAAGGGGCGCAAGCCUGAUGCAGCGACGCCGCGUGAGGGAUGGAGGCGUUCGGGUUGUGAACCUCUUUGGCCAGUGAAGCAGGCCUGUCACUUGUGGGUGGGUUGACGGUAGCUGGAUAAGAAGCGCCGGCUAACUACGUG
rnacentral:rRNA from 1 species